AGUGAACGCUGGCGGUAGGCCUAACACAUGCAAGUCGAACGGCAGCACAGUAAGAGCUUGCUCUUACGGGUGGCGAGUGGCGGACGGGUGAGGAAUACAUCGGAAUCUACUUUUUCGUGGGGGAUAACGUAGGGACACUUACGCUAAUACCGCAUACAACCUACGGGUUAAAGCAGGAGUUCUUCGCACCUUGCCCGACUGAUUUAGCUGAUGUCGGAUUAGCUAGUUGGCUGGGUAAGGGCCCACCAAGGCGACGAUCCGUAGCUGGUCUGAGAGGAUGAUCAGCCACACUGGAACUGAGACACGGUCCAGACUCCUACGGGAGGCAGCAGUAGGGAAUAUUGCACAAUGGGCGCAAGCCUGAUCCAGCAAUACCGCGUGGGUGAAGAAGGCCUUCGGGUUGUAAAGCCCUUUUGUUGGGAAAGAAAAGCAGCAGGUUAAUACCCCGAUGUUCUGACGGUACCCAAAGAAUAAGCACCGGCUAACUUCGUG
rnacentral:rRNA from 1 species